UCAAGGAAACCUCUCUGAUGAAUUUGUUGGGGGGCUUUGGGGAAACAUCUGGUCCUACACUCUUGCUGCUUUCCUAAACCUUUCAUGCAGGGACUUAAGUUGUUGAGAAGAGGGUUUUGAGAGAUGAUACGAACAGCAAAGGGCACGCUAAAAUCGGGAGCUUAGAAUGCAGACUACGAAUCAAUAGCACUUUGCUGAGAAGUUUAAAGAGCAAAAGUGUCUUAUUUGGGGACACAUUAAGACAAGAGUACAAUGGGGGAAAAUAUAUGACAGAGAACCAAUAAGGAUAAUCUGAAACAAAGCAUUGCCCCUUUCCAGUUAAUAUGGGUAUCCCCAGUGUGUGAAAAUCAGCCUUCAAGGUUCAAAGCAGGGAGGUUUAGAGGGAGCCCAUUAAAGGUCUCAGGUUCCUGUCAGGGUAGGUUAAAGUGACAUAUUCGGUGGGAACAGCUCACACAGGUUUCCUUCCCUAUGACCUCCUUAAAUUCAUAGCUGCUGAGUGCCAUAGGGAGGACUGUUUAUGUAACAGAGUUAUUCGUUUGGGCCAGGGAAACUUACACUUGUUUGAACAGCUUUCUGGGAAGAGAGUAGAGAGUGGGCAGGAAGCCCCUGUCGACCACAAGCUAAGUGAGCAAGAGCAAAGGCAUAUUAUCCUGAUUACAGCUCACGCUGCACCAAGAAAAGACGACAAGAUUCUAAAGCAGACCCUGGUUGUAGAGUGAUGCUUGGAGACCAGCAUCUGGGGUAACUGUAAAGGAUAGAGUCUUGGUACUGAGUAGACAGUUCAGAGUGAAGACAAAACUGUGGCUUUCUUUCCGUUCUGGGCUUGCAUGCGGAGUCACCUUCUGAUUGGUUGGAUUCCAAUUAAAUGGUGGUGCCUCUCUUAACCCCUGAAUCAGGCUCAGAAGGGCUUCUGAGAUGGACUUUUGCAAGGGUUUGAGGAAACCGUCCAAGCUGGCUGUACUGACCUGCAGGCGAUGGCAUGGUGGUGUCUGGAAGGUGGAUACUGCUGCUGCCUGUCAACUGUCAAGGCAAGAAGAGGAACUUGAAGCGGAGGGAAGGGCUGUACUUCCCCACUGGGGAAGCUGGGCAGGGGACUCGAUGGGGACAGCUGCUUCUGCUCUGCGAUUUCAGGUGGCGGCUUUAAAGUUUAAAGGGACCAUCUAGGCUAGGAAGGGGAGCUCACCACACCUCUCUUGGGUUGCAGGGGUAGACUCAGUCCUGAGUAUUGCGAGCACUGCACAGCCAGCCACCAAACAGGAGGGAACUCGGAAAAUGCCAAAUCGGACUUCCCUCAGGAAUGGAGCCUAGUCGAGAGCUGAGGUGAAACCCUUCCUCUUGCCCUGUACUCCGCUACGAGCCAGGAGUGGUCACGACAAUGGAAAGAACCCAACAGCCACAGGAUUGCUUUCCCAAAUGGGAUGCUCUGCGUAGAGCCGAAGCUGAGUUCCUCGGAGCGCCAAAACUCCUGGUUCUAGUUUUAUUGAUGGUCUGGCUAUGAGCCAUUGAGGUUACUGAGCUCCUCUUAGUGUGGCUGGCUCUGCAGAAAGGAACUUAGAGAACCAGUGCUGAGGAAUGAUGACCUUGUUUCUCCCUUUAGCCUGAUGCUAACCUCAGGACUCUGGAUCUCAGCUGCCGUGGAGGAAUCCAGAUUUCUAAUCUAUUUAUGUCAUCUGACCAAUUACAAUCAAAUGAAAUAACGAACGUACACAGAUACUUUGAACACAGUUCUCACUGUGGAGAAUACCCCCUAAGUACUUAUUUAACCUUUAUACAACCCUAUUAGCUUUCAACUGAAAGAUUAGGGGAACAGACAAAGACCCUAGUAAGAGGACAUGUGCCACAGAGUUACUGAGAACUAAGCCCAGGCCCUCUGGCUCAGAACCUAUCUCACCAUCCCUCCAUAAUUUCUCCCUCCUGUUGCUUGAGGUCCCAAAGCCCCACUUAUGAAGCCCUACAUGGAACAUGAACGUGGAUCACAUGCAGACGAUACCCAUGAUAACAUACGUGAUUGGAAUCAUGUCAGACCCUCUAUCCACACCUGCACCUACCCACAAGCAAUAACAGGUCAUGUGCAGAAGGCUCUUCAAAUUGAAUUUCUCUUUCUUGGUGGACAAGCACGCCUAGUUUACAUGGUUCCGAAGUUGCCCUGAGCACUCAGAGGACUUAUGAGAAGUGAGAGAUGAUUUCCCCCCCCACCCGCCACCCCCAGUCCUGAGGCCUACACCACGUCCCGCAUGUUUUUGUGGCUGCUUGUGGCGACCUGGAAUGAAGUUUGGAACUCAUGAAAAGCAGAGGAAAUACACUUGGAUCCAAGUGCCCCUGGCCCUCAUGACCCGACCCCUGGAGAAGCAUCUGAGUUACCCGACAUCCUGGUCAGCCGGAGCUGGGCUGGAGACUGGAUGCUGCAGCUGAUUCAGAGACUCAGCACCUAGGAAGGCUCCUGUGCAGGGAGAAAGGCAGAGAUGCGACAUUUUUAAAGUUUCACAAAACACGAGGCAGCACCCAAGUCCCUGGAUCAGGAGAUACACAGAAUUAAUGUUUUAUACCUUCGGGUAUAGGUUUGAGUUUUUUCCCCCUCAUGCCAAGUAUUUAAAACCUCUAGAAACCCAUGAUUUGACAAUCAAUGAUUGCGCGAUACUUUCAAUUUGAAUAUUCAAAGGCUUAACAAAAUGGACUAUCUUCUGCAGAAAUCCUGCACACAGGCACCCCACAGAGAGUCCAGAGAAACAGGGAGUGAGAUCCCUUUGGGUCCUGACCCUUGCUUUUCUCUUAUUUUUAAACAUUUUGUCCACCUGCCCACAGACAGAGCAGGUGUCCUCAAAGAUGCUCUGUGUUAGCCCCUCAAAGGCUUCUCAGAAGCCCCUGCUGACCUAGGCUGCUCCCUGUGGACCACCUGAACCAGGCUGGACAGCCGCAGUGAUUCUCACCUGCCCACUCUCCAUUUUAAGGGGAAAUCUCCAGUUUUGGAGAGUGAACAUGGCAGACAGAGGGUGUGGCAUAGCGAAGGCCCACUUUGGGCCCGGGUUGCAGGCCAGAGGACAGCUACAGCAGAGGCCUAAGCUUUGUGCUUUGUAUUCCUGCCUAGCUACAAGGCUUCCCUGUCUGCAUUCUCCCCCUGCUAGGCCACAGACACGGGGGUUCCAGCGGGCAGUCCUUGGACAUCAGCUCCCACUUUGUUCUUCGGAGCUGUGGCCCAUCACAGCUGUUCUUGGUCAUCUGAGAUUUCUUUAGGCCAGGAUUCCACUGCUGCAGGCAGCAGUCCCGAUUCCUAUGCUUUGGUUUGUUUCUCUUGUCUAGAGCCCCAGGCUUUUUACCCCAUAGCACUUCUGGUUCUUUUAGAGGAAGGGUGUGGAUGUUUUUGCUUUUGUUUUGUUUUUUGAAGGCUAUGAAGAGGAAGGUAGAAGGAAUUUGGAGUCAAACUGUCCUCUUGGACUCCUCACACAUAACUUGGGCCCGUGCGACGUGUAUUUUUGAAGCAUUGCCCGAGUUCCUCUCUGUCCUGUGAUUUGAACGAUGAAGUGACUGGAGUGAUACGGACUGUCAGGUCAACACAGGGGGACAGAAGGGUCCCCUUUUGCAAAUAACCAGGACAUUUCCAGAAAUGCAGAUAAAGUGAUGGUAUAGGCCUCUAUUCUUUAAUCCCCGAGUUGUCUGAAGUGCAACAAACAAACAACCCCAACAACAAAAACAAACAAAAAACAAAAACAAAACAAACAAAAACGGAAAAAAAAGCAAGCUUUAGAUUCAAAAGCCUUCAGAAAAAAAUAUUUAAAAAUUUAGAAUAUAUUGGAUAUAGUGUAUUAGAUACAGAGUGUAUAACAAACAGCUCAGCUAAGGGGUCUCUGGGGGUGAUAAAAGCAUGCUGGGUAGACCUCUCUGUCAGGCAGGUAGAGCCACACAUCUGGAAAAGGGCCAGGGCCAGGGCCAGGGCCACUUGAAGUAGCAUCCUGUGUUAGAGAGUGGGUGAGAUGUGGUUGUAUUUGGCCCAGCUAGUGUUUUACCAGCCACUGGAGCCUGAGGACCAGACCAGAGAGAGGACCCCGGGAUCUGAGGGAAACCCUCUCCCUGGCACCACAUCCUUCCUUCCUCUAGCCAACGUUUCCCCUUGCUUUCUUUCUCCUUUCUUGCUUUUAAGAUUUCAUGGCUGUCCUCUGGCUGUUUUGUUUAUUCUCCCUCCUCCGUUUUCUAUCCCGUGUUUUCUUCCUGUUGAUGUUUUUCUUCAUUUCUUCUCUCUCUCUUUUUUCCUCUCUGACUCUACAUGUGCCUCUCUUUCCCCUCUUCGGGAGAGCUGUCUCAUUCUUUUACACUAAAUAUUUUUCCUCAGUUCUCCUUUCACACAGGAAUGAGCAGAGGUGGCUUGAGAUCCCAGUUUUCCCUGGACAGUACCAAGGACAUUGGUGCUGGUGACUGGGUUCUCCAGAGAGAACACAGGCUGGGAGACAGGCUCUUUAGAAGCCUGGUGUCUAUAGAGAGAACAAAGAGCAAAGAAGUCUGCAUCCAUUCUCCCAGAAGCCUUUUCCUGAGCCAUGGCUAAUGUCCUGGGGGAUUUGUGUGUUGGUGCAGUUCCUGAGGUUCUGAGUCUGAUGCUAUUGCUGGCAAAUAACUUCCGGAAAAGAUUUCCGCAGGCCCAUUCAGAGAAUCUUCCCUGUGCUAUCUAUACGGCAGGUCAGCUCAACAUUCAGCAGUUUUGGAUUCUUGUUCUUGUGACUGGAAAACCUCAGGACAGACAUUUCAGAGCCAAAGCCAAGCUUCAGGAAGCAAUGCUUUCUCAGUAGAUUGCCUUUGCAUUUCUCUCUGUCUCCGUCUCUGCCUCUGUUUAUCCCCCCUCCCUGUCUGUCUUUCUGUCUCUAUGUGGUGUGCAUGUGUGUGUGCAUGCUUGUGUGUCUGUGUGUGUAUGACUAUGUGUGUGUAUGCAUGUAUGCAUGUGUGUAUAUGCAUGUGUGUCUGUGUAUGUAUGUCUGUGUGAGUGCAUGUGUGUUUAUGUGUGUGUGUCUCUGUGUGUGUAUGUCUGUGUGUGUGUGUCUGUGUGUGUGUGAUAUCUAGAGCAACCAGCCAUUUUGCCUUGAGAUUCCAAAUGCCUCUAGAACUGGGUACCCUGCUCUAUUGCUUGCUCCUUCACUUCCCCAUCCAUCCAUCCAUCCAUCCAUCCAUCCAUCCAUCCACCCACCCACCCACCCACCCACCCACCCACCCACCCACCCAUUCCAGUGUUGAGAUAGAAUCCAGAGCAUGCAGGGUAAGCACUCUACAACAGAACUACACCUCUAGCUCAGAAGAGCGUUUAAAUUCUCAUCUAUUGUCCCUUGGUGCCAGACCUGUGUUGCAUAGUAAAUGGUAGAAGUAGUGUUCGGACUUUUGUAUCAGCCCAAAGUCCUUGCUGGGUUAUCAGUGUGUCCAAGGGGCUUACGACUACAGCAUACUGAUGACAGGAUAUUCCAGAAACAUGGAGUCCUGAAGAAGCAACUGGCUAGUGGUGAGGUCAUUAUGCUGGUUUGUGGUUUUCCAACUAGAACCCUCUUCCUGGAGCCUUAUUGCUUCUGGGAUGCUUCCCUGAAAAUCCAACAAUCCCUGAGGUUGUAAAAAUAAAGUGGGUGUGUCUGGCCUUCUGCCACAAGCUCCUCCACUUAUAACACUAUCUUGACGUUGGGUGUGGGAAAGGAUAUUGAAAUGUUGAGAGGGAGUGCCAUCUUGAUCAGUGGCUUUCUAGCUUGUAGCUCCAUUGUUGGCUUAUAGAAAAGUCUGUGUGGAGAAGAUGGGUCUCACUUUUGUAAGGCAGAUCUUGCUUUUAAAUGAGCCACCAUCCAUAGAGAUGUUCGUUCCUUGAGCACCAGGUAUGUACCAGGCACAGUAAUGAGUACCAGGAGUGCAAAGAUAAGUAAGCCUUGGUUUCUGCCCACAAUGGUUCUGUUCUCCCAUGUGCUCACUACCACGUUCCUAAUGUAGAUUCAUUUACAGAUUCAUUCAUUCAUUCAUUCAUUCAUUCAUUCAUUCAUUCACUCAUUCCCUCACCAUUUAUUCAACUACCAUAUGUUAAUUGACUGGUCCAAUUCUUGCUUUCCAUCCGAACCUUCUCCCCUUAAAGCUCCUGUCCAUAGUUUUCCCCAUUCUCCCUAAAUCAGCUUUUUAGAUCUCUGCUUUUCCAUGCCACAAACUCAGAAAUCCUUCUGUUUGUUACUGAUCAUCACGAAGUCAGCAGCGCCUGGGGUGAGUAGAAUGGGUAUCAUUAAUGUGGAAAGUUGAAAGUUUUUAACAGAAAAAAAAAUCGAUGGUCUUUUGCAUGCAAAUGAUACUGCACAGCAUGAGGGUUUCCCCUCCAAAACAGGGCUUUAUUAAACGCAGACAUGUGCAUAUUAAAAGACCUUCAGAAUAAGGAAAAGGUGUACUUAUUCCUUCCAAAUUUGACUAUAGCCCCAAACUUUCCUUAGUAAUGCAAAAUUCUUUUGUCACCUCAAUGUUGGGACACUGUUACCGAAUGUUGUGGGGAAUAUCAAGUUCCAAAAGGUUGAAUACAUAGAAGAAAAAAAUAUUCAUGGGUCCCUGGGAAGCAUGUUUGGUCCAUGUGAAAAUGACCAAGAAGACUUGGAGAUGGUGGCUAUGUAGUGAUGCACACAUGGUCAGUUUCUCCCCAUAGUAUACAUUCAGAAUUCAGACUUACCUUUAAAAAAGGUAACGAUGAGCCAACCUUGGAUCGUUUGUUAUCUCUACAAGUACCAUACCUCACGGCUUGCGAAGUUACUGUUUAACUUAAAACAUUUUUUUAUUGUACCAUGUUUCUAACAUAAAAGUGUAUAGUGAAUGCUGUCGUGAAGAGCUGUGACUACUUCACCAAGGUUGAGAGAUAAAAGGGCUGAGUGAUCGUACAUUUGUGUGGCACUCUAAGUAUUGGGACUUCUGGAUCCUUCCACUUAAGACUGAGGGGGAAGGUCUAUUACUUUUCUGACUGUAGAAGGGCUAAUAUCUUGGUACUAUUGUUAGGUCUGUCUAUUUCCCUUUUGGAAUUUGGAACUUUUAACCCUGUUUCUUCUUGCAGUCUAUCGACGAUGCAUUGCGUAAACCUCUGUGUUUUAUUUGGUCUGAAGUUAUUGUUAAGAGAUAUUUAUGCAUCACACAUCUAAUAAAGCAUGACACCAAUGUCUGAAAAUAACUCUGGCAAAACUUACUGUUACUUAGUUUGACCCUGGGAGAUUAUAGUUCUUGAUUUAUUAUUGUGCUUGCUUUAAUCACACCAGAAAUAUUAAGCCCCAAAUAACUAAUUUGUUAUGUGUUCUUAGAAAUACGUCAAAGUAUACAUGGUUAGUAAAAGAUACACCAGUAUUCUUUGUACUACUCAGAAGUUCAACAUCGAUUUUUAUUCUUAAAGAUGCUUUAAAAUACUUAAUCAUCUAUCUUAAGAAUGUGCCUGUAAAUUUUCAAUAUUCAUCCAUAGUCAACUUGUUUUAGAGGCCUGAUAUCCACAGCCAGAGGCUAAAUAGCUGCUCAUUUUUGUGGUAGCUUUAAUUCAAUCCGAUGGAGGUUCACUGAGAAUCUGCCGGCCCCAAGCCAGGUGAGUCAUUCAUGACUCCCCACCCCCCUGAUCUUUAACUAAAUCAUCACUCUUUGUCUACAGCAGCUUUCUCAACCUUAAUAAUUCAACCCUUUAAUACAGUUCCUCAUGUUCUCCUCAACAAUAAAAUUAUUUUCGUUGCUACUUUGUAACUAUUUUUGCUACUGUUAUGAAUCAUGAUAUAAAUAUCUGACAUGCAGAGUAUCUGUUAGGUGAUCCUAGGGAGUCUUUUUUUUGUUUUUUGUUUUUUUUUUUAACAGUGCACUCCAUUUAUUUAUUUACUUUAUUUAUGAGUACACUGUAGCCAUCUUCAGACACACCAGAAGAGGGCAUCAGAUCCCAUUACCGAUGGUUUUGAGCCACCAUGUGGUUGCUGGGAUUUGAACUCAGGACGUCUAGGAAGAGCAGUCAUUGCUCUUAACCGCUGAGCUAUCUCUCCAGCCCGAUCCUAAGGAGUCUUGACCCACAGGUUGAGAACCAUCGAUCUAGGGUGUAGGCAGCUGAUCUUUCUAGAGUCAAUGAUCAGUGAACAUGUUGUCUAAGACAAACAGUAGACAGUAACUUGAAUAGAGAAGGCACUUUAGACAGGACCCAGCUGUUGACUUUAAAGUUAAUUUUGGCAAGUCACUAUGAUGCCAUUAGAGUCUAGGGUGACUUAAUCCUUGGGAUCAGUUAUUAUUUUGGUACUUUAAAUAGAAGUGACUUUAUUCCUGGCUAUAUUUUUAAAUUUUCAUAUCGAAAAGGUAGCUCUUCAGGUACUUUUGUGUGCACUCCUCUCUAAGCAAGCACCUGAGGUUAGCACUUCUGUCCUCUUUGGGGACUUACUCUUGGGACACUUUAAUAGUACCUUGCUAUUGUUUAAUUAACUCAGCCGUGGAAAGUCAUAAUGAUCAUUUAAAAGUAUUAAAUAAACAAAGUAAAGAUGUGGUUUCCUCCUCUCAUUCUUUGGGGGUUUGAAUUACACCGUAAGAGAAUCACAAACACUUCAACAACAUGCUAUGUGUUUCCAGUGAUUCACCGGGUGAUUCUCUAGAGGCAGGCUUUGCACGGGCCAAUUUUAUAUUUCACUUAAUUUUUAUUGCAUGAGUUUAUUUAUUUGUGCAUGGGGUGUGGGCAUAAGGGGUGUGUGUACGUCACAGUACACUCGUGGAAGUCACUUCUCCCCUUCUUACCAUCCGGGAAUUGGGGAUAAGGACUCAGGACAGCAGGUUUCACCUACUAAGCCUGACUGCUGGUCCUUAAAUUUCACCUUUGACUUUGGUAUUUUCUUAAGUAGGUUGAACUUGGCAUCGCCAUUUUCACCCAAUUUGAACCGUAAACAUGCCCUGAGCCCUGGCAUCCUAAAAGAGAUGGCAUUGUGAGCAGAGCCUCAUAGUUUACUUUGGUUCUUCCAUGGGAAGAUAUGAGUCAGAAGGCAUCAAGGUGGGGGUUGGGGGCGGGGUGAGGGGGAAGAAGGAGAGGAGAGAGAAGAAUGCAUUUUUCCCCACAUUCUAGUAUUGUGCAACUAUACUAGGUGUGGUUGAUAUCCACAUGUUGAAUAGGAAAUAGUGUUUAGUUUCCCUGACAUAACUUGGUAGUUUAUUUCCAAUUUUUAAUAAGACAUUUCUAGAACAAUCAAGAGGACCAAAUUAGAAUAUAUGAAAGUGACAUUGUCAAGGUAAACACAGCCCUUAAAAUCAUCCACCACUUGGAAUUUAUUAGCCUCAUUCUUAUUCCCUCCCCCUACCAUAGGCCAGACAGCCAUAAUGGCAGUAGAUGGAGAACGGGCUGUAUGUGUCUUCCUUGUCAUAGCUUAACCUUGUGGACAAUAUGAACCAAGUUAGACAAUUUAAGAAGAAUGGAGGCACCUUGGUGUGCUCUGUUUCUCUCUGCGUUCCUAGGCCUGGUAGACAGGCUCUAUUUGUUUGAGAACCAAUGUCUCUUCAGAGUCUUACAAGAUAAAUGAACAAAAUGUUUGAGUAGAUAAAUGCAGAGCAAGCCAAGAUGACGAAUACUGAACAUAAGAGCCAAGCAAAUGUUAGAAUCUUAAUUUACAGGAUCUACAUUAUACCAUCACUACUUAGUAACCGUCCCUGGUGGGUGCUACGUACCCGUUGCUAUUAAAACAUUUACACAACCAAUCUAGAAAACUGACUCUCAGGCCCUCGUGAAGAUCCCUAAUCCACAGAGGGCCCAGGUUUCUUCCUUCCAGUGUCAGGACCUGAUGCUCAAGUCUGAGGAUCAGCUGGAUGACAGAAGGGUGUUUCAGAACUCCUGGGAACCAGAACAGAGAUCUUAAGUGACAGAAGAUUUCAGAAAGAACAGCUCUCCUCCGCUGCAUUGGGUGAUGCCAUUUUUCCCAGGUGAGCACACACUAAGUAGAGUGGAGCUUAGGUUGACCUUUCCUUCUGUGGCAUACUCAGUGUAGUGUACAUCAGGACUGUCAUGAGCCUGUUGUUUUGAGAGGUCUCUGCUAGCCACCAGCACUCAAAUUGACCAAGUGUUCACCAGUGGAUAAACAGAUAAAGAUGCCCCCCUUUCAAUCCUCACUCCUGUGAUUUGUGACAAUAUAGAGGAACCCCAGGGGCACACAUUAAAUGAAAUAAUGUUUGAGGUGCCCAAAGAUAAGUGUUGUACGAUCUCAUCCAUAGACAUUGUAUAGAUGUAUAGAGGUCUAUACAUUGUAUUAACAGAGACUAAGGUGGGGAAGGAGAGGGAGCUAGCAAAGAAGUUGAUCUUUGGGUACAAACUUACAGUUAGGAUAAGCAAGUUUUGGCAUAUGACUGCACAGUAGAGUGACUACAUCAAUGAUAACAGUUAAUAUUUCAAAAAACCUAGAAGAGAUGAUCCUCCUUAUUGGUAUUAUAAUAAUUGAAGAAAGGAUUUUAAUAUUCUACUGCCAAGACAGGAUAAAUGUUUUGAAGCCAUGAGUAUAAUUCCCAUGACUCGAUCACUGGAUAAUGUUUGUAUAAUGUGUAACUAUUGUGUUAGUUUUCUGUCAGCCUAACACAGACUAGAGUCAUCUGGAAGAAGGCACCUCAGCCAAGAAAAUGACCUCUUCAGAUUGGCUUGUGGGCAAGUCUGUGGGGGGGCAUUUUCUUAGUAAAGGAUUGAUGUUCGAGGGCGCAGUCCACUGCGGGUGGUGCCAACCCUGACAGGAGGUUCUGAGUUGUAAAAACAAACGCUGAGGGAGCCAUGGGGAGCAGGCCAGGAAGCAGUGUUUCUCUUGCUUCCAGGUGACUGCCCUGACUUUCCGUCCUAAUAGACUAAGCUGGAGUUUUGUAAGGCCUUCCCAAGCUGCUUUUGGCCACGAUGUUUAUCACAGCAACAGAAAGUAAAUUAGAACAUGCAUAUUGAAGUUCAUGUUGUACCCCCACAGAUGUAUAUAAUCAUUUUAUAUACAUACAUAUAUACAUACAUAUGUCCGUAAGUGUGUGUGUGUGUGUGUGUGUGUGUCCGUGUGUCCGUGUGCACGUAUGCACGUGUGCAUAUCUACAGCUGCCGAAAAUCUGCUGUUGAGAGAAAGGAAGUCACCAGUGAGAGGUGGCUAUAUGCGAAACUCCUCUUUUCUUUGCUGCUACAUGGGCACUCUCCAGGGAGGAAGCUUUGAGCACAAGGAAGGGGGAGGCUUUUAACUUCAGCAUUUCUGUUCCUAGUCCUAAGCUAGGGGUGGUUUGCUGAGACCGAAAACUCCAUCAGAGGAAGACAUGUCCGCUAACUGCGGCUAAGUAUGAAUUCCUACCGGGAUUAGAAUUCGCACACCCUGACUUCCUAACUGAGGUAAAGAAUAAGACAACAACAGAGGACAUUUUGGGGACUCUUGUUGUGGUUGGCCCUGAAGUUAUCUGUAUUUUGAUGCUAAUUCCACUGCCCCAAGGACAGCUGCCUAGUCAAGUACUCAGGACUCAAGUGUCUUCACCAGAACCUUCUCCCCACUGAAUUUGUAAAGUACAUGUGAGGGGCAGGUACAGCAUAGAAGGAGGCCUGUCUUUGCAGAAGGAAGGAUGGGCAGGAGAGAAGUUUGAAGGAAGAGGAGGAAACUAGGAUGGGAAGAAGAGAGGUGAGGAGAGAGGGGAGAAGCCAUGGCAGAUGAUGUUAAGAUUCUGCUCUGUGUAUUUACAGGUUGUUAUUAAUGUUCUCAAGGGAUGGAUGGUACCGGGCUUUGUAUGUUUAAGUGGACAAUUAUAUCUUAUCAGUUGGGUCAAAGGUUAUUGUGUUGUGUGUUCUUUUAUGUGAGGGUUUGAGUGUAGGAAAUUGUGCGGCGGCAAGAGACACUGGGCCGCCGAGGAGUUGGGAUGUGUUUCUGCCAAGAUAUCGAGAUACCUUGGGGCACUGCGGUGCGGACCUAGCGGGGUAAAAGAUAACUAUACUUUUUCAUUUUUAUAUUUUUACAACAGACUCUCUUGGAGAACUGGGCCAAACUGGAACUUUAGAAACCUUGGUAGAAAACAGGAGUCUUGGCUUCUAGAAGACAGGAGGGACCAGAAGGGUCUGAAAGGCCCCUGCAUCAAAACCCUAAACUUCUGGUUGUCUUGGUUGAUGCGAUCCUUGAACAGGACUUCCUCAGAAGUGCCCCAGCAAAGCCAGCCUGAUCCAGCACCUCCAGGUGUGAGCAGAGCAGCCUCAGGAAUUCCCAGGUCCAGAUACUUCUAAGAAGAGGCACAGAGAGUUGUUAGAGAAUCCCUUGGUAUGGUAUUUUGCCCAGCGUCAACUGUCAACUUGACAUAGUCAAGAGCCAAUUGCUAAGAGAGUCUCAAAUGAGUGUCCUUUUCAGCAAUCUGGAAGCUGAAAUAAGCCCUUUCCUUCUUAAAGGGGGUUUUGGUCACGAUAUUUGUGGCAGCAACUGAAUCAAACUGGAAUAUUUGGAAUCUACGCCUUUUGAUGGGACUAUAAACAUCUUUUCACAGCUUCUGAACUACAUCCCAUAAUAUACAUGACCGCAUCCAUCACAGACAGCCAAGAGGCUGCUUCUGGGAUUUUUUUCCAUCCAGUAAUAUCUCUCUGGGUAAGAUGAUACACACGUCACUCACUUCAGGCCAGGGACAGGUGUGUUGUCUUUUGAUUUUUCUGCACACCGGUCUUCACCACCAUGUCUCAUGCCCAGCCUGCAUCAAGAGAUGGCUUGCCCCGAGCCAAUAUGAUUACAGAGGAAAAACAACAAAACCCUCUGACAUGGCUGGCUUUGAUGGGUCUAGUGUUAUUUGCUGCCCCCUUGUGGUCAGACUGGAUUCCCUCAUUCGCCUCUCCAGGACGUAUAGCAGGUUUCUGAAGAGAAAGCUUGGCAGAGUUUUGUUAGGAGGAACAGAGAGAAAGGUUGAAACUGGCGAGAGUUUUAAAUAAGAAAAGACUAAUGAAAUGGUUGCUACACUUGACACUCUCUGACCCUGUAGUCGUCUGUGGCAGGAAAUGGAUGGUUGUCGAGAAUCCGUUUGGGGCGCCGACUCCAGGUCCCUAUAAUUUAUCAUUUUUAUAUAUUCCAUCUUAGACCUUUUUAUAACUUGCACUUGCUUAUCUUAAAUUGCCUUCUCAGACCCUCACAACUCACUUAAGCUCCCAUAUCCUCAGACCUUUAUACAUCUUAAAUUUCUUUCUUAAAGGGCCGAGAUGUGGAGAAGUUGCCCGCCCCUCUCUUCCCUUCCUCCAACAACAGAGUCCCAUUGAGCUUUGUCCUUACCCACCCCACCCAGAAGAGAAACCAAGUUCCCCACCUAAGGUAGUAUUUUAUGUUUUGCUCUUUACUCUGUGACUUGCUAUUGCUAUCUUCCCAGGAGGUCUAAGAGCUCGGUGGUGGUAGAUCAUGUCUCAUGCACUUCCUGGUCUGUAGACCCGGGAGGGGAAUGCUGCAUUCAACAUGCCAUGCAAAUGCAUUUAUUUGCGGAGCCGCUCAAGUCCCCCACCAAAGCCUUCAAGCACGCUUUUGGCUCACUACACUUUUGUUUUAAAUCCACCAAUUUCCAACUGGCCUGGAAGCCGGUGAGCCAGUCAGCGAGUAAAAUUCGUCUCUGCUUUCUGCUUCAAGUUCCCGCUCUGGCUUCCCUCAGUGAUGGAUUCUGUGGUGACAGUUUUAAUUUUAAACACACUUUCCUGGGAGAGAAAUCUGGGCGAAUAAAAGUUCAUGCCACGAAGUUAUAUCCCACAGAUUGGUGAGGGCGGUGAAGAGGUAGAAGGUGCUUCCAAGGUGGUGCCUUUAUAUUUCUAAUUUCAAAAUGAAAACCAAUCGCGAAGAAAAGCCCUCUGCUUUCCCAAGUGUAUCCAUUUCUCCUUAAAAAGGAGAGGAAAAUUCUAGAAGGUUGGAGAACCUGCAGAAACCCCUCUUAGUACAAAAGAGCAGAUGCAACCAAAUUUGAAUGGAGUGAACGUGAGGGGAAAAUACAGCAGAGACAUUUACAUCGACUGUCUGGGAUGCUUCAGAACAUCUUUUCCCGUGCAUCUUGGGAAGUGUUAAAUCAUUUUGGAGUUUGAGGUCUGGAAAGGGAUACUGUGUGGUGGGGUUGGGCAUGUGUGCACAAGGAUGCUUAUGACUAGUAAGAGAAUUCCUUUCCCAUCCUCACAGGACUGCGGAAUCCAGACACACCAAAGUGACACAAAUACAAUACCCAGACUUCACUGUGUGAUGUGUAGGAGAAACUUAAUAAAUGUAGCUCUGACCUCUCAUGCUCCCUUCUCCUUUUAUCUAUUACAGUAGUUUCAACCUUCCUGAUGCUGUGAACCCUUUAAUAAGUUCCUCAUGUUGUUGUGACCCCCAACAUAAAAUUAUUAUCAUUGCUA